rnacentral:rRNA from 1 species
GUGAGGAAUUUUGCGCAAUGGGGGAAACCCUGACGCAGCAACGCCGCGUGGAUGAUGAAGGCCUUCGGGUCGUAAAAUCCUGUCAAGUGGGAAGAAGACUCUGCCGUUAAUAGCGGAUAGGGAUUGACUGUACCACUGGAGGAAGCCCCGGCUAACUCCGUGCCAGCAGCCGCGGUAAUACGGAGGGGGCGAGCGUUGUUCGGAAUUAUUGGGCGUAAAGGGCGCGUAGGCGGCCUCGUAAGUCGGUUGUGAAAUCCCUUGGCUUAACCAAGGAACUGCACCCGAAACUGCAGGGCUAGAGUCCGGGAGAGGGUAGUGGAAUUCCCAGUGUAGCGGUGAAAUGCGUAGAUAUUGGGAGGAACACCAGUGGCGAAGGCGGCUACCUGGACCGGUACUGACGCUGAGGCGCGAAAGCUAGGGUAGCAAACAGG